rnacentral:tRNA from 1 species
GCCUGGGUGGCUCAGUUGGUUAAGCAUUGACUUCAGCUCAGGUCAUGAACUCACGGUUCGUGGGUUCGAGCCCCGCUUCGGGCU